rnacentral:rRNA from 1 species
UUGUUCCUACGGGGGGCAGCAGUGAGGAAUAUUGGUCAAUGGGCGCGAGCCUGAACCAGCCACGUAGCGUGAAGGAUGACUGCCCUACGGGUUGUAAACUUCUUUUAUAAAGGAAUAAAGUGAGGCACGUGUGCCUUUUUGUAUGUACUUUAUGAAUAAGGAUCGGCUAACUCCGUGCCAGCAGCCGCGGUAAUACGGAGGAUCCGAGCGUUAUCCGGAUUUAUUGGGUUUAAAGGGAGCGUAGAUGGGUUGUUAAGUCAGUUGUGAAAGAUUCCGGCUGAACCGCAAACUUGCAAUUGAUACUG